UACGGGGGGAGCAAGCGUUGUUCGGAUUUACUGGGCGUAAAGGGCGCGUAGGCGGCGCAACAAGUCACUUGUGAAAUCUCCGGGCUUAACCCGGAGCGGCCAAGUGAUACUGUCGUGCUAGAGUGCGGAAGGGGCUACUGGAAUUCUCGGUGUAGCGGUGAAAUGCGUAGAUAUCAGGAGGAACACCAAUGGCGAAGGCAGCUCGCUGGGACGGUACUGACGCUGAGACGCGAAAGCGUGGGGAGCAAACAGG
rnacentral:rRNA from 1 species